AUGCCGCUCCGAGCGGCUGCACCGGGAGCGGCUGCACCGGGGCUCGGGGCCGCGGUGCUGUGCGCAGUGCUGUGCGCGGUGCUGUGCCCCCGGCCGGCCCGAGCGGAGCCUUCCUCAUUCCCCUUUCCCUUCCAGGACCCGGCGCUGCCCUGGCACCGCCGCCUCGACGACCUCGUGGGCCGGCUGAGCCCUGGCGAGCUGGUGCUGCAGGUAGCGAGGGGGGGUGCGCUGGGGAACGGCCCCGCGCCCCCCAUCCCGAGGCUGGGCAUCGCACCCUACAACUGGAACACCGAGUGUCUGCGCGGCGAUGGGGAGGCACCCGGCUGGGCCACGGCCUUCCCGCAGGCACUGGGGCUCGCUGCUGCCUUCAGCCCAGAGCUCAUCUACCGGGUGGCCAACGCCACCGCCACCGAGGUGAGAGCCAAGCACAACGCCUUCGCCGCCGCCGGCCGCUAUGGGGACCACACAGGGCUCAGCUGCUUCAGCCCCGUCCUGAACAUCAUGAGACACCCGCUGUGGGGCAGGAACCAGGAGACCUAUGGGGAGGACCCGUUCCUGAGCGGGGAGCUGGCCCGCAGCUUCGUGCAGGGGCUGCAGGGCUCACACCCCCGCUACAUCAAGGCCAGCGCUGGCUGCAAGCACUUCAGUGUACACGGGGGCCCUGAGAACAUCCCUGUGUCCAGGCUCAGCUUCGAUGCCAAGGUGCUGGAGCGGGACCUGCGCACCACCUUCCUGCCCCAGUUCCAGGCGUGUGUACGUGCGGGUUCCUACAGCUUCAUGUGCAGCUACAACCGCAUCAAUGGUGUUCCUGCCUGUGCCAACAAGAAGCUGCUGACGGACAUCCUGCGUGGAGAGUGGGGCUUCGAGGGCUACGUGGUGAGCGACGAGGGGGCCCUGGAGCUCAUCAUGCUGGGGCACCACUACACACACACCUUCCUGGAGACGGCGGUCGCAUCAAUGAACGCUGGCUGCAACCUGGAGCUGUCCUAUGGCAUGAGGAACAAUGUCUUCAUGCGCAUCCCGCAGGCUCUGGCCAUGGGGAACAUCACGCUGCAGUGCCCUGAACCUGAGCGUGGUGCAGAGCCCCGAGCACCGAAACCUGUCCCUGGAAGCUGCCAUCAAGAGCUUUGUGCUGCUGAAGAACUCAGGGGGGACACUGCCCCUCCGGGCCCAGGACCUGCCUGGCAAGCGCCUUGCGGUUGUGGGUCCCUUCGCUGA
rnacentral:lncRNA from 1 species